rnacentral:rRNA from 1 species
CGAACCGGGGGAACUGAAACAUCUAAGUACCCCGAGGAAAAGAAAUCAACCGAGAUUCCCCCAGUAGCGGCGAGCGAACGGGGAGCAGCCCAGAGCCUGAAUCAGUAUGUGUGUUAGUGGAAGCGUCUGGAAAGGCGCGCGAUACAGGGUGACAGCCCCGUACACAAAAAUGCACAUGCUGUGAGCUCGAUGAGUAGGGCGGGACACGUGGUAUCCUGUCUGAAUAUGGGGGGACCAUCCUCCAAGGCUAAAUACUCCUGACUGACCGAUAGUGAACCAGUACCGUGAGGGAAAGGCGAAAAGAACCCCGGCGAGGGGAGUGAAAAAGAACCUGAAACCGUGUACGUACAAGCAGUGGGAGCACGCUUAGGCGUGUGACUGCGUACCUUUUGUAUAAUGGGUCAGCGACUUAUAUUCUGUAGCAAGGUUAACCGAAUAGGGGAGCCGAAGGGAAACCGAGUCUUAACUGGGCGUUAAGUUGCAGGGUAUAGACCCGAAACCCGGUGAUCUAGCCAUGGGCAGGUUGAAGGUUGGGUAACACUAACUGGAGGACCGAACCGACUAAUGUUGAAAAAUUAGCGGAUGACUUGUGGCUGGGGGUGAAAGGCCAAUCAAACCGGGAGAUAGCUGGUUCUCCCCGAAAGCUAUUUAGGUAGCGCCUCGUGAAUUCAUCUCCGGGGGUAGAGCACUGUUUCGGCAAGGGGGUCAUCCCGACUUACCAACCCGAUGCAAACUGCGAAUACCGGAGAAUGUUAUCACGGGAGACACACGGCGGGUGCUAACGUCCGUCGUGAAGAGGGAAACAACCCAGACCGCCAGCUAAGGUCCCAAAGUCAUGGUUAAGUGGGAAACGAUGUGGGAAGGCCCAGACAGCCAGGAUGUUGGCUUAGAAGCAGCCAUCAUUUAAAGAAAGCGUAAUAGCUCACUGGUCGAGUCGGCCUGCGCGGAAGAUGUAACGGGGCUAAACCAUGCACCGAAGCUGCGGCAGCGACGCUGAUGCGUUGUUGGGUAGGGGAGCGUUCUGUAAGCCUGCGAAGGUGUGCUGUGAGGCAUGCUGGAGGUAUCAGAAGUGCGAAUGCUGACAUAAGUAACGAUAAAGCGGGUGAAAAGCCCGCUCGCCGGAAGACCAAGGGUUCCUGUCCAACGUUAAUCGGGGCAGGGUGAGUCGACCCCUAAGGCGAGGCCGAAAGGCGUAGUCGAUGGGAAACAGGUUAAUAUUCCUGUACUUGGUGUUACUGCGAAGGGGGGACGGAGAAGGCUAUGUUGGCCGGGCGACGGUUGUCCCGGUUUAAGCGUGUAGGCUGGUUUUCCAGGCAAAUCCGGAAAAUCAAGGCUGAGGCGUGAUGACGAGGCACUGCGGUGCUGAAGCAACAAAUGCCCUGCUUCCAGGAAAAGCCUCUAAGCAUCAGGUAACAUCAAAUCGUACCCCAAACCGACACAGGUGGUCAGGUAGAGAAUACCAAGGCGCUUGAGAGAACUCGGGUGAAGGAACUAGGCAAAAUGGUGCCGUAACUUCGGGAGAAGGCACGCUGAUAUGUAGGUGAAGUCCCUCGCGGAUGGAGCUGAAAUCAGUCGAAGAUACCAGCUGGCUGCAACUGUUUAUUAAAAACACAGCACUGUGCAAACACGAAAGUGGACGUAUACGGUGUGACGCCUGCCCGGUGCCGGAAGGUUAAUUGAUGGGGUUAGCGCAAGCGAAGCUCUUGAUCGAAGCCCCGGUAAACGGCGGCCGUAACUAUAACGGUCCUAAGGUAGCGAAAUUCCUUGUCGGGUAAGUUCCGACCUGCACGAAUGGCGUAAUGAUGGCUAGGCUGUCUCCACCCGAGACUCAGUGAAAUUGAACUCGCUGUGAAGAUGCAGUGUACCCGCGGCAAGACGGAAAGACCCCGUGAACCUUUACUAUAGCUUGACACUGAACAUUGAGCCUUGAUGUGUAGGAUAGGUGGGAGGCUU